UACGUAGGGUGCAAGCGUUGUCCGGAAUUAUUGGGCGUAAAGAGCUCGUAGGCGGUCUGUCGCGUCGGCUGUGAAAACCCGGGGCUCAACCCCGGGCCUGCAGUCGAUACGGGCAGACUAGAGUGCGGUAGGGGAGACUGGAAUUCCUGGUGUAGCGGUGAAAUGCGUUGAUAUCAGGAGGAACACCCAUGGCGAAGGCAGCUAACUGGGCAUUAUCUGACGCUGAGGCGCGAAAGCGUGGGUAGCAAACAGG
rnacentral:rRNA from 1 species